UUUAACCUUUCUUAGAUCACAGGCUACCUUGUGAAAAUCUGACGAAAGCUGUGCACUCUCUCCCAGAGAAAGGCACAUGCAGAAGUUUUCACAUGGUCUACGAGGUUCUCAGGCCCCUUGAAGCCUGACGAGAACACAAGCAGGUCUAGAAUCCCUGCUUAGCUCAUGCUUUGAAUGUUUCUUGCGUGAUACCAAGACUGCAGCCCAAACAGCAAUUCUAAUUUCCUCACUGGUGCAAACGUAAUUAUGUCCCAAGAGGGGCUAGCUGCCAUUUUUCACGUGGUGUUACUGACCCUCCACUAGAGAGCCAUGGGUUUGGGGCUCUUUCCCCAGUAGCAGUGCUGGAUUUGCAGCCAGUUCCCCUUGGGUCAAAGAGAAUAUGCUGGAAAACAUAACCUGAGUCAGGCCAAGAUGUCUGGAUGAAAAGGAAAACACAGCCACCCCCCCAUACUCAUUUGUAACAGACUCUGGCUAAGAAUAAUAUUUGUGUGUUUCUUCCCCUCCUUCCCCCUGCUGAGGCUUUACAUUUAUAACAUACUUUUGUUUUAAAGCACAGGUGUUUGAGCUGGCGCUGUGGCUGCCGUGUUUGCUGACUGUUUCUCGCCCACAAGAGACAGGACGGGAGUCAGUAUGACAGGGUCGCUGCCUAGAUGGGUAGCAUGAGCUUCAUCUCAUGCCAGCCUCUGCAGGAGUCAGUCGCCAGGAAAGUAUCGUGACAAAAUAAAUUGCCUGAGAGCCACAGGGAAUGUUUUGUCCAUUUCAUGAAUUUCCACGCUGGAUAUUGCAGGGCUUUGUGGGGGCAGCUUAGCCCCUUGGAGAAUCCAGGAACUUCUCUAUUAGCCCAGUCUUGUCUGUAGACUUGUACGAAAAGUCCAAAGCCCAAAAGGAGAUUUCACCAUAGAUCAUUAAGUCGAUCUAAUUGCUGCCAGUGGGAGCCUCAUCCCUCCCCCCUGUAAAUCGUCCUCCUCAAAGCAUAAUGAAAUUAAAGUGAAUUGAAUGUU